rnacentral:rRNA from 1 species
AUCGGGCUUUGCUUGGUGGUGAGAGUGGCGAACGGGUGAGUAAUGCGUGACCGACCUGCCCCAUACACCGGAAUAGCUCCUGGAAACGGGUGGUAAUGCCGGAUGCUCCGACUCCUCGCAUGGGGUGUCGGGAAAGAUUUCAUCGGUAUGGGAUGGGGUCGCGUCCUAUCAGGUAGUCGGCGGGGUAACGGCCCACCGAGCCUACGACGGGUAGCCGGCCUGAGAGGGCGACCGGCCACAUUGGGACUGAGAUACGGCCCAGACUCCUACGGGAGGCAGCAGUGGGGAAUAUUGCACAAUGGGCGCAAGCCUGAUGCAGCGACGCCGCGUGCGGGAUGACGGCCUUCGGGUUGUAAACCGCUUUUGAUCGGGAGCAAGCCUUCGGGUGAGUGUACCUUUCGAAUAAGCACCGGCUAACUACGUGCCAGCAGCCGCGGUAAUACGUAGGGUGCAAGCGUUAUCCGGAAUUAUUGGGCGUAAAGGGCUCGUAGGCGGUUCGUCGCGUCCGGUGUGAAAGUCCAUCGCUUAACGGUGGAUCUGCGCCGGGUACGGGCGGGCUGGAGUGCGGUAGGGGAGACUGGAAUUCCCGGUGUAACGGUGGAAUGUGUAGAUAUCGGGAAGAACACCAAUGGCGAAGGCAGGUCUCUGGGCCGUUACUGACGCUGAGGAGCGAAAGCGUGGGGAGCGAACAGGAUUAGAUACCCUGGUAGUCCACGCCGUAAACGGUGGAUGCUGGAUGUGGGGCCCGUUCCACGGGUUCCGUGUCGGAGCUAACGCGUUAAGCAUCCCGCCUGGGGAGUACGGCCGCAAGGCUAAAACUCAAAGAAAUUGACGGGGGCCCGCACAAGCGGCGGAGCAUGCGGAUUAAUUCGAUGCAACGCGAAGAACCUUACCUGGGCUUGACAUGUUCCCGACAGCCGUAGAGAUAUGGCCUCCCUUCGGGGCGGGUUCACAGGUGGUGCAUGGUCGUCGUCAGCUCGUGUCGUGAGAUGUUGGGUUAAGUCCCGCAACGAGCGCAACCCUCGCCCUGUGUUGCCAGCACGUCAUGGUGGGAACUCACGGGGGACCGCCGGGGUCAACUCGGAGGAAGGUGGGGAUGACGUCAGAUCAUCAUGCCCCUUACGUCCAGGGCUUCACGCAUGCUACAAUGGCCGGUACAACGGGAUGCGACACGGCGACGUGGAGCGGAUCCCUGAAAACCGGUCUCAGUUCGGAUUGGAGUCUGCAACCCGACUCCAUGAAGGCGGAGUCGCUAGUAAUCGCGGAUCAGCAACGCCGCGGUGAAUGCGUUCCCGGGCCUUGUACACACCGCCCGUCAAGUCAUGAAAGUGGGUAGCACCCGAAGCCGGUGGCCUAACCCUUUG